rnacentral:lncRNA from 1 species
AUGGCUCCUUCCGCAGGUCAGCUGCAGCCCAUCCCUGGCAUUGGCCGCCCAGACAGGCCUGAGGCUGGGCAGCUGGACCAGCGGCGGUCUCAGCCCACCCCGAAGCAGGGAGCUCAAGGAACCCCCACCAAGUCUCCCUCCACUUGCUGGAAAGCGCCCCCCAGGCCAGGGCUGGCCCUGAGGAAGGAGUCACCCCCAGUGACCUCGGAGCAGGAGCAGGGUCAGAACAAGGACCUGGUCACUGAGUGGGUUCAGCCCCAGGCCACAGCUGCCGGGAGGGCUGGGGCAGGGAAACCCGGGCCCUUGAAGCUCAGGCCCUGGCAGGCCGGCAGGGACCCUCAAGCUCAAGAGGGAGCAGUGGUCACCGAGGAGGACCCAGGCCAGAAGGCAGGAGGCCGGGAAGACAAGGGAAGGGGCUUGAAACCCAGGAGGCCCCCCAAAGGUGAGAACUGGCAAGGACAAGGGGCCCUCAGGUGGUGCCUGGGGCCUGCUAGGACUGACAAGACCACGCAUGGGUUUGGCCACCCAGACACUGCCCCAUUCCCAGUGUUUCCAAGCCAAGUGCCCUCGAGUGCGGGGUGGGAGGGAAUCCCUCCAAAGUCACGUCCCCUCCCCAGGCUCAGAGCCCCAUUUGGGCCUUUGCCCUUGGUGCUGAGGGGAGGGGUCCCAGCAGCCUGUCGCUCCAGCCCAGGCUGGCUGAGUAACUGGCAGGCCCUGGGAGCCCUGGGCAAACCCCUGUUCCUCAGUAGGCCCCUGUUGCUUGUGACCCAACAGGGGCUGUCUCUCUUCCUCCAGGGACCUCCCAUCAACCUGGGCCAAGGAUCCGGCGCCCACAGAAGGACCACAGCUGAGGCUGGGAUGGCAGCGGCAGCACCUCCAAGACCCUGGGCCGUGGGUGGAAAAGACCAGGAAGCACACACGGGCACAGGCACAGGCACGCAAACCUGGGCACCACCCAGCAGGCCAUGCCCUCUCUGCCGGCCUCGUGCCUCCUGGCCCAGGCAGUCAUCGCCUGUGGCAACGUCAAGAUGA